rnacentral:lncRNA from 1 species
CUUGACUGGGGAGGAUCUGCUUCUAAAUACUGUUGAAGCCACUGAGGAAUCAGAAGUGAACGAAACAAAGUCUGCUCCCAUGAAGUUUGCAGCCUAGUCAAGGAAGAAAUUAACGUUGCCGCUAUUAUCAAUGGUAUUUCAGUGGAGUCCAGAAAGACCGUAGGGAAUUAUAUCACAUACCUGGGGAGGAGAGCCUUUCAGGCAAAAAGAGUUGUAAAGGCAAAGAACAAUAAUAGUACCUACUUUGUAUGGUUGCUGUGAAAGUUAAAUAAAACAUAUGCUAUAGCCAGCGGUGAGAAGGGCCCUGCAGAAAAGUAAAGCAGGUUAAG